rnacentral:rRNA from 1 species
UACGGGGGGUGCAAACGUUGUUCGGAAUCACUGGGCGUAAAGCGCGUGUAGGCGGCUUGACAAGUCAGGUGUGAAAUCCCACGGCUUAACCGUGGAAGUGCAUUUGAAACUGUCAGGAUAGAAUAUGGGAGAGGGUUGUAGAAUUCCUGGUGUAGAGGUGAAAUUCGUAGAUAUCAGGAGGAAUACCGGUGGCGAAGGCGGCAACCUGGACCAAUAUUGACGCUGAGACGCGAAAGCGUGGGGAGCAAACAGGAUUAGAUACCCUGGUAGUCCACGCUGUAAACGAUGGAUACUGGGUGCAGCGGGUAUCGACCCCUGCUGUGCCGUAGCUAACGCGUUAAGUAUCCCGCCUGGGGAGUACGGCCGCAAGGCUAAA